CCUACGGGAGGCAGCAGUGAGGAAUAUUGGUCAAUGGACGGAAGUCUGAACCAGCCAUGCCGCGUGCAGGAAGACGGCUCUAUGAGUUGUAAACUGCUUUUGUACAAGGGUAAACCUGAAUACGUGUAUUCAGCUGAAAGUACUGUACGAAUAAGGAUCGGCUAACUCCGUGCCAGCAGCCGCGGUAAUACGGAGGAUCCAAGCGUUAUCCGGAUUUAUUGGGUUUAAAGGGUGCGUAGGCGGGCUGUUAAGUCAGCGGUCAAAUGUCGGGGCUCAACCCCGGCCUGCCGUUGAAACUGGCGGCCUCGAGUGGGCGAGAAGUAUGCGGAAUUCGUCGUGUAGCGGUGAAAUGCUUAGAUAUGACGAAGAACCCCGAUUGCGAAGGCAGCUUGCUGCAGCGGAACUGACGCUGAUGCUCGAAAGCGCGGGUAUCGAACAGGAUUAGAUACCCCAGUAGUC
rnacentral:rRNA from 1 species